UCCUUAUUGGAUAUUCCUUGACAACAACAACAACACGCUUCACCAUCUUGUAUACUUCCGUCAAUUUUCUCGUAAAACAGUUUAUUUCUCCUCCUCCUGGACAUUACAGCAAGUGUUUGAUACUGUGAUGUUACAUCUCAAGACCAAGUGUAAUUAAGUAGAAGUUCACAAUGUCAAGCAGAGAUAAAAAGUUCUCCUGUGAGGAAUGUGGCAAACAGUUUUGCUUAAAGUCUACUCUUCAGAAACAUUUACUUGUGCACAAUGGUAUGAAGGAGUUUGAAUGUGAGGAAUGUGGGAAACAUUUGUCAUCUAAGAGUCAUCUCAAAAGACACAUUCUUGGACACAGUGGUGUAAGAAAUUUUGAAUGUGAGGAAUGUGGAAAAUGUUUCUCCCAGAAGAGAUAUCUCAAGGCACACAUUCUUGGACACAGUGGUAU